CCUACGGGAGGCAGCAGUGGGGAAUAUUGCACAAUGGGGGGAACCCUGAUGCAGCGACGCCGCGUGAGUGAAGAAGUAUUUCGGUAUGUAAAGCUCUAUCAGCAGGAACGAGACAAGACGGUACCUGACUAAGAAGCCCCGGCUAACUACGUGCCAGCAGCCGCGGUAAUCCGUAGGGGGCAAGCGUUAUCCGGAAUCACUGGGUGUAAAGGGAGCGUAGACGGCUGAGCAAGCCUGAAGUGAAAGGCGGGGGCCCAACCCCCGGACUGCUUUGGGAACUGUACGGCUGGAGUGCAGGAGAGGUAAGUGGAAUUCCUAGUGUAGCGGUGAAAUGCGUAGAUAUUAGGAGGAACACCAGUGGCGAAGGCGGCUUACUGGACUGUAACUGACGUUGAGGCUCGAAAGCGUGGGGAGCAAACAGGAUUAGAUACCCCAGUAGUC
rnacentral:rRNA from 1 species